AACGAACGCUGGCGGCAUGCCUAACACAUGCAAGUCGAACGGGAUCCUAGCUUGCUAGGUGAGAUUGGCGGACGGGUGAGUAACACGUGGGAAUCUGCCUUUUGGUUCGGGAUAACCGCGGGAAACUGCGGCUAAUACCGAAUGCCCUCGAGAGAGGAAAGAUUUAUCGCCAGAAGAGGAGCCCGCGUCCGAUUAGGUAGUUGGUGGGGUAAAGGCCUACCAAGCCGACGAUCGGUAGCUGGUCUGAGAGGAUGAUCAGCCACACUGGGACUGAGAUACGGCCCAGACUCCUACGGGAGGCAGCAGUGGGGAAUAUUGGACAAUGGGGGCAACCCUGAUCCAGCAAUGCCGCGUGAGUGAUGAAGGCCUUAGGUGUAAGCUCUUUGUCAGGGAGAUGAUGACGGUACCUGAAGAAUAAAGCAACCGGCGUAACUUCGUGCCAGCAGCCGCGGUAA
rnacentral:rRNA from 1 species